rnacentral:rRNA from 1 species
GUGGGGAAUUUUGGACAAUGGGCGCAAGCCUGAUCUAGCCAUGCCGCGUGAGCGAUGAAGGCCUUAGGGUUGUAAAGCUCUUUCAGCUGGGAAGAUAAUGACGGUACCAGCAGAAGAAGCCCCGGCUAACUCCGUGCCAGCAGCCGCGGUAAUACGGAGGGGGCUAGCGUUGUUCGGAAUUACUGGGCGUAAAGCGCACGUAGGCGGAUCAGAAAGUCAGAGGUGAAAUCCCAGGGCUCAACCUUGGAACUGCCUUUGAAACUCCUGAUCUUGAGGUCGAGAGAGGUGAGUGGAAUUCCGAGUGUAGAGGUGAAAUUCGUAGAUAUUCGGAGGAACACCAGUGGCGAAGGCGGCUCACUGGCUCGAUACUGACGCUGAGGUGCGAAAGCGUGGGGAGCAAACAGGAUUAGAAACCCCGGUAGUCC